rnacentral:rRNA from 1 species
GGGGGGUGCAAGCGUUAUUCGGAAUCACUGGGCGUAAAGAGCGCGUAGGCGGUUUCUUAAGUCAGAUGUGAAAGCCCGGGGCUUAACCCCGGAAGUGCAUUCGAAACGGAGGGACUUGAGUAUGGGAGAGGGAAGUGGAAUUCCUGGUGUAGCGGUGAAAUGCGUAGAUAUCAGGAGGAACACCGGUGGCGAUGGCGACUUCCUGGACCAAUACUGACGCUGAGGCGCGAAGGCGUGGGGAGCAAACAGGAUUAGAUACCCUGGUAGUCCACGCAGUAAACGUUGAACACUAGGUGUAGCGGGUAUUGACCCCCCUGCUGUGCCGCAGCUAACGCAUUAAGUGUUCCGCCUGGGGGAGUACGGCCGCAAGGCUA